GCCGCCGCUGCCGCCGCUGCCGUAGACCAGUGAAACUCUGUUGCCUCUUCUCUGCCAAUUUCCCUGCCGCCAUGAUGUACGCCCGUGCCGGCACGCGCGGUACGCGAAACCCUAGCCUCACAGAUUGGUCUCACCGGCACUGCUCCCACCACCUCUCGCUGAUACCAGUACCGCGGCGCCCCGACGUGAUGCCCCCAUGGACCUCUCUACUGGAUCCACGCCUCCGCGCCACCCUACAACACCCAAGCGCGCGUGCCCGUGAAACCCUAGCUGUUGGGCUCGGGCUCGCAACACCUAUGCUCCUGGCGACUACCACCUAUUGAUGUCGCCUGGGUGGCCGGGGCCUCACCACCGUGGUGCGGUGGUAGGCUGUGGCUGCCCUCUCCUCUUCAGCGACCUCGAUGGCUUGCUCCACGGCUAGAACUAUAAUAUGUGAGCACAAGCUUCCCAGGAAGAAAUACUUUAGAGGAAAGGACAACAUUUGUGCUUAUGUGUGAGGAAAGGAUGCAGAAGGAGGGGGCCAUUGUGUAGUUUUCCCUGGACGAUGAUAUGGGUCAUGUGCUUGCCCUUGUGCUGCUAUAUCUAUGUUGGUCAACAACUACAAGCCAUGAACGAGUGGAUCAGAGUCCAUGGGUGGUGCCGGUGAAUUCACCGCCUCUACUAUGUGAGCAGAUUUUAUAGAGGCCAUUACAUAGGGUCUGAUUCCAUAUAUGAUUUUGCUAGCGCGGAUACAACGAGGAGAAGUAGUUCAAAGUAAAGUAAAAGUCAAAACAUACCCUUGCUGCCUAUUUGUAAAGAAAAAUUAUUUGAAAGGGUUGAUGAUGAGUUCUGGUAGAAGCAUUGUCCUUGUCUUUCGAUAACUGGAAAUGCAUCGACAAGCAUGUGAGUUAUCCUACUCUAUUUUUUUUGGCUUGCUGAUCAGGGAGCCAGCUAUUCUUUAUAUAUCACUUCCUCUUAGAUCCUGGAAUGAAUUAACUCUCUGUUCAUUACUUCUACCAUACAUGUUGCCGAGAAACCUUUUGAUAGCUUAAAACUGGCAAGAAAAUUUGUUCUCUGUUCUACAUUUUACUUAACAGUGAUAAUAAUCAUGUUAAUGCCUCGUGAACCAUACAUUGAAUUCAGUUUCACCCUAUCAAAAAUAUGUAGAGCAAUUGUUUUAAUAGCUACGAACUCUGAAUCUAGAGGUGACAUACUGACCAUUGUGUUUUUAUUCUCUUUUUUCUUCAAGGGUGUCGGUAAUGUGAUAAUUUGUUGGUGAACUAUAGAUUGGAGUGCCUCCUUAAUUCAGAUCUUUGAUGUAGUUGUAGAAUCUCAUGUGAGUUAUUGUCAGACAAGUUGAUACCACUGAAUCUUGCGAAUCAGAGACAUUGUCAUACUCCUCACCUGAAAUCAACUGUUUUGCUCAUUUAUGUUGGUCCUUAGACAUGUAUCAACUAGCUGAUGCAUGGUAUGCGUAAUGCGCUUGUUUGGAUUUCCCCCCUGUAUAUACAUACUUGUGCGGAUAUAUUUAAAAUCAUAAACUGCGAUGCAUGCCUUUCUGCUACAUUAGAGUUUUGUAUAGAAAAAAUGUCAAAUGUGCUCUGCUCUGACCUUUGCAAGUUAGGUGCUUUGUGAUCAUACUAAGAAUUAACUUAAGAUGGAUGGCCCAGGCUGGAGUAAUUCAUGCUUCAUGCAAUAUCAUCGUCUCUUAAAUUGGUUACCUAUAGCUAUGGACCCUUGCAGCUAUUGUUCUUAAGACCUUUUAAAUGUUCAUGUAGCCUCUGCUGUCAAAGAUAAAAGUAGCCUUGGCCUGCUCCCCCGAGUCCUAUGCAACCGCCAAAUAAGCCCAUCUACCAUGAGAUAUGCUGAACUGUCCUACCAUCCAAAUAAGCCCACGAUUUUAUGUUAGUUAAAGUGAAAUUUAGGCAUACUUUUCCUAUUUAUUAUAAACUAUCUAGAACCUCUGUCAUGUUAUCACUAUUGCUUAUAAUACUCCCAUACCUCUUUAUUUUCCUAUCUUCACCAUAUAGAUAAUUAUGACUGGUAUCUCAGUUUUUUUAAACAUUGUUAUAUGUUAUUUGCCAACUAAUAGGGCAAGGACCUUAUAACCCCAUUAUGUCAAAAUCUACAACCUAGUUUGAAUCACCUAUGGAUUUUAUCCUUCAGAAAAGACCAACCUUCCAUAGUAAUUCUCAGUCGUGCCCUAGCAUGGAUUUCACUGUAGAAUGAUGAUUGUGUUCUCAUCACUCGCCAUCAUCAUGUGUUGCUGCAUUUGGAAAACCCAACUUUUCUGUAAUAUGAAAUGUGUAUGAAGUGAGCACUAAUGGUGAUUUUGUUUUAUUCUGCAGAUAGCACUGUUUGUUUCAUCAAGUGAUGCUAUGCAACCUGGCUGGCUGGUGUAGUACCUAAGAAUUAUCGAUGCCAAAAUAAUUAGGAAAAUGCAUUCUAAUCUUGUCAAGGUUUGUUGUUUACUUGAAGUGAGCACUAUGUUUUCUAUGAAGAACUGGUCCUUUUGACUAUUUUUUACUCAUGAUGCAUUCAUAGUAAUCAAGGCAUUUUAACUAUUCAAGUCCUGCUCAGCCCCUUGGACCAGAAGACCUUACAUGGAGAAGUGAGUUGGAAUUUGGCAUACCUGAGUUGAGCGCCGAAACCAAAUAUUCGAAAUCCACAUACGCACCAUGAAUUGGGAGCAAGAUAUUUGAUUCGAGGUACUGGCACAAUUCUGCCCCAACCCCACUGGUGAGUACAUGACCUGUAUCUAAAUGAUUUAUGUUUGAUUUGUUUUGACUGUUUUAGGCAUCACCUGGGAUCCAGCCUCCUCACCAUUUCAGCUAGGCAAUCAGACUUGAGUAUGUUGUUUCAGGGGUUGAUAUAAGGUCUACAUAGAAGCCAGCUCCACCAUCCAGAUCAAGGGGCCGAGCUGCUGCUGCUUCCUUGGAGCACGGGAAGGGUUGUGCCAUUGCUGCAGCGGCCACCGGUGAGGCGUCGUGUGUCCGGACUGUGGCUGCUGCUCCUGUUGCACAUGCCCGAGAUGCUUGUGUGGUUGCAAGUGCUCUUGCCCAGCUGCUCCCCCUGCGCAUUCCCCCUACCAGCGAUAGCGCUGGUGCUGCCUCUUGUGUGUCCUUUUGCUACCGUUUAUAUUGGAUACCUUGUAUCAUAUGCUUGUUUAUAUUGCCUCUGUUGGUAUAUUGAGGCAUUGUUGUUUAUAAUGCCUUGUGAUACAUUUAGUCAUUUCAAUAUGUUGCCUCUAAUUGUGUUUUGGUGUGUUUUAUUGAAUCGCUUCAAAUUGUGUUUUGGGUCA